AUGCGAUGGGGGAACCCUGCUCCGCCUGCCGCGUGAGUGAUGAAGGCCUUCGGGUUGUAAAGCUCUUUUGUGUGGGGAGAUAAUGACUGUACCACAAGAAUAAGCCCCGGCUAACUUCGUGCCAGCAGCCGCGGUAAUACGAAGGGGGCUAGCGUUGUUCGGAAUUACUGGGCGUAAAGGGUGCGUAGGUGGUUAUGUAAGUCAGAAGUGAAAGCCCUGGGCUCAACCCGGGAAUUGCUUUUGAAACUAUGUAGCUAGAGUUCGAGAGAGGUAAGUGGAAUAUCCAGUGUAGAGGUAAAAUUCGUAGAUAUUGGAUGGAACACCAGUGGCGAAGGCGGCUUACUGGCUCGAUACUGACACUGAGGCACGAAA
rnacentral:rRNA from 1 species